rnacentral:rRNA from 1 species
UACGGGGGGAGCAAGCGUUGUUCGGAUUUACUGGGCGUAAAGGGCGCGUAGGCGGUCAGCACAAGUCAGUUGUGAAAUCUCCGGGCUUAACUCGGAAAGGUCAACUGAUACUGUGCGACUAGAGUGCAGAAGGGGCAACUGGAAUUCUCGGUGUAGCGGUGAAAUGCGUAGAGAUGGGGGAGAACACUCGUGGCGAAGGCGGCCAGCUAGACCAGUUCUGACACUGAGGCGCGACAGCGUGGGGAGCAAACAGG